UACGAAGGGGGCUAGCGUUGCUCGGAAUUACUGGGCGUAAAGCGCACGUAGGCGGCUCUUUAAGUCGGGGGUGAAAUCCUGGAGCUCAACUCCAGAACUGCCUUCGAUACUGAAGAGCUCGAGUCCGGGAGAGGUGAGUGGAACUGCGAGUGUAGAGGUGAAAUUCGUAGAUAUUCGCAAGAACACCAGUGGCGAAGGCGGCUUACUGGUCCGGUUCUGACGCUGAGGCGCGAAAGCGUGGGGAGCAAACAGGG
rnacentral:rRNA from 1 species